UACGGGGGGGAGCAAGCGUUGUUCGGAUUUACUGGGCGUAAAGGGCGCGUAGGCGGCCACCGCAAGUCGAUUGUGAAAUCUCCGGGCUUAACCCGGAAAGGUCAACCGAUACUGCGGGGCUAGAGUGCGGAAGGGGGCAACUGGAAUUCUUGGUGUAGCGGUGAAAUGCGUAGAUAUCAAGAGGAACACCUGCGGCGAAGGCGGGUUGCUGGGCCGACACUGACGCUGAUGCGCGAAAGCCAGGGGAGCGAACGGG
rnacentral:rRNA from 1 species